AUGAUGGAAAUACAGUACGUACUCUUUUGGAAAAACAAAUGGCAAAGGAAUACACUGCAAGCAACCUGGCCUUAUUUGUUCUCCUUUGCCCUUAAGGAAAACUCCUCAGUCCAGCAAAUUAUGCAGCAAGAUUUGACCCCUGAUCUGUUCCAUUUACCUUUAUCUCAGGAAGCUUUCCAGGAAUUCGCUUUCCUGGAACAGCUGAAGGAAGGGUCACAGAGGACCCUGAUAUCUGAAGGCUCUGGAAUUCUUGCUGUCAAAAGAAACACAAGGUCUUUUUUCGGUUGCUCAUCAACAACAGAUUUAACACAAGGGAGAUGGUAUUACAUAGGAAAAUCUUCUUCUUGCCUGAUUACUCUUGUGUGCUUUGUGGAAGUUUUGCUACUUAGACUAGUGACCAUCCAUUUUUCCAGUGUCCUUUUGCAGUUGCUUGUUGGAAAUACUUAUGCCCAGAUUGGAACCAAAUUCAAGGCCCUGUUCAGGAUCAGAUUCACACUUUGA
rnacentral:rRNA from 1 species